rnacentral:sRNA from 1 species
AUGUUGGCCAGGCUGGUCUGGAACUCCUGACCUGAAGUGAUCUGCCCACCUCGGCUUCCCAAAGUGCUGGGAUGACAGGCGUAAGCCACUGCGCCUGGCCCCUUCAGGUGGGUUUUGAGGCUUCACUACAAUACUAGUUCCCCGUUGCUGCUGCAACAAAUUACCACACCCUUAGUGGCUUAAAACAGCACAGAGAUAUUCCCUUCCAGUUCUGAAGGCCAGAAUUCUAAAGUCAGUCCCACUGAGUCAAGGUGGGAGCAGGCUCAGUGCCUUCCCAGGCUCUGCGGGAGAAUCCGUUUCCUGGCCCUGGAGGCGGCCUGUACUCCUCAGCUUGUGCUGCCCUUCUCGAAUGACUCGAGUUUCCUGCUUUCAUCACUACACCUCCCACCACUCUCCAUCACCUGCUCUGCUCUUAUAAGGAUCCAGAGAAAUGGAAUAGUCGUAUCACUGAUCUACGUAAACAGGUUGAAGAAUUGUCUGAAAGAAAAUAUGGUGUGUCUAAACUGGAAAAGUCCUGUAAUAGUUUGUUCAUGAGCAUUUACACAAUGGAGUUGCUGUUUCAUCAUGGGGGUACUGUGGACAAGCCCAGGGUUGCUGACAUGAACUUAUGAAUUUAAGACAUGAAGAUUUACAGCUUGAUAAACCAGCUUCAGGAGACAUGAACUUAUGAACUCAACACAUGAAGAUUUACAGCUUGACAAACGGCUGCUGUAAAAUAUUACAGGCAUACUUUGGAGAUAUUACGGGAUUGGUUCCACAUCACUGCAAUAAAAAAACUGUGGAUUUAGUUACCCCACUCUGCCAUGUCUUUCCACCACUGCCUGCACAUUUGAGACCAAGGAUAGAGAUUGGGAAAAAUUGAUAGUUCUCCUGCCUCAGAGUUUGGCUCCUGCACUCUCAUUUCAGCCAUAGCUGCAGAGAGAGCACACGAUUGCUGGGCACUGUGGCUCAAGAGAAGGGGGAGAUGACUCCAGCGGGAAGAAGAAGAGGCCUUUGCCAGCAGUCAGAGCAGCCAAGGGGCCCAAUCCCUCACAUUCUCCAAGUUUGAAGAAAAACCAACGAGAAGACCCGCAAGGUUACCACAGUGAAGAAAUCUUCAGUGCGUCUUCUAGGGUCGGAUCAAAGAAGGCAGAAAUUCAGGAAGCAAAAGCUCCCAGUCCUUCCAUAAACCGGCAAACCAGCAUUGAAAUGGGUUAAGAGUGUCUAAGGAGUUCAUAGAAUUUCUCAAGACCUUCCACAAGACAGGCCAAGAAAUCUAUAAACAGACCAAGCUGUUUUUGGAAGGGAUGCAUUACAAAGGGAGCCCUGCACUGGGUUACGCCUCAGAUGCUGUGUGUCCCUGUUAAUGAAGACAUCCCAGAAGUGUCUGAUACGCUGGUGAAGGCGAUCACAGGGAUUGUGCUGCAUUCUGACUUAGGUUCUGCUAUCAAAAACAGAAUGCCCUGAUCCUUAGAGGCAGAGGCAGCUCUUCAGCCUAUGGGCUGAAGCUCUUGGACUCACUGAGGCAGUAAAAGUACCAUAUCCUGUGUUUGAAUCAAACCCCGAGUUCCUGUGUGUAGAAGGUUUGCCAGACAGGAUUCCCUUUUGAAGCCCUCCUGGUUUGGAAUUCCAUGACUUGAAAGGAUCGUCCGUGGGAGUAAUAAAAUCAAGUUUGUUGGUAAAAACUUCACAGUUUCUAAAAAGACCACGAAGCCCUGAGAGUAAUGAAAAGCUUCCUGACAUUGAGGUCACUGUGGAAGAGGGAAAUAUGUCAUGUACCAGCUGUCCAUCCAAUGACUGCCCAUCAGUUCCAUAUUCACCCUUCACUGCCUGAUCUGCAGACAUAGAGGACCUCACAAUGACUCAAGCUACCAUGUACUGUUGAUUGUGAUGAAAUGCCAGCUGAGGCACAUGCUUUGGGAGGUAAGUGGCUGCUGCACUUGACCACUAUGAAGGCUGGUGUGGGAAGAAUCCUUUUGGAUGCACUUCAGCAGGGGCCCCGAUCCCUGGGUCACAGGCCUGUACUGGGCCACACAACAGGAGGAGAAUCUAAUGCCUGAUGGUCUGUCACUGUCUCCCAUCACCCCCAGAUGGGACCAUCUAGUUGCAGGAAAAGAAGGUCAAGACUCCCACUCAUUCUACAUUAUGUCUCUGUGUGUUUCCCAGGCUGGAGCACAGUGGUUUGAUCUUGGCUCACUGCAGUCUCAACCUCUCAGGCUCAAGCUAUCCUUCCGCCUCAGCCUCUGGGGUAGCUGGGACCACAGCCUCAGCCAAGAUGUCUCACCCUACUCUCUAUGAUGCAAGAAGCCCCUGGGGAACGUUUCAGUCCCACUCUACUAUUGUCAUGUGCUCAUCACAGUCUGCUGGAUCUACCAUGAAAGACUUCAGAGUCCGGAAAGAGAGACUGACUGGGCAGCAUGUUAUUCAGUUACAAAAAGACUUGGACUAUGACUCAAAAAUGAUCAAAUAAUAGUUCAUGCAUCAAAUGCAAUAGGAAGCAUUUCUGGAGGGUGAGAGAAGCAUCCAGUUAAGGUGACAUUGAAGCUGGGUCCUGAAAGAUGAGGAAGAAUUGUAUGAGAGUGGGCAGAGAAUGGGCUGGGAUGGCGUGAGCUGCUCAAGCAGGGAGACCAGCACUGUAAAGACCUGGACGAUAAAGACGGCACGUUUUAUUCAGGGAAUGGUGAAUUAAGUGUGGCAGGAAUGCUUUGGAGAGAUAGUAAUUUGCUUGUAUGGAAUUUUGCCUGAGAGGCCUCAUUACAGUUUCUAAUCUUUUGAUGUUAUCAUCUAUCACUGUCCUUGUCAAAUAGUUUGGAAUCGUUAUAAUGAUCACAAUAACAUCAAGCAUAGUAUUUCAUUAAUUUUCACAAAAUCACAGGUAGGUGCCACAGUUUAUCCCCAUUUUGUGAAUGAAGUGAUGAAGACUUAGGAAUAAUGGGUGAUUUGCCCAAGCUCACCUGGAUAUUAAGACUGAGUCAAAUGUCGGGUCUGGUCUGACUUUAAUCUUUGCUUUGUUCGUGAGCACCACGUGUUGCCUCUCCUAUGCAGUUAAGCAGGUAGACAGGUGAAAGAAAAGCCCGUGUUUGUCUCUACUCAGACACUUCUGACUGAAUGUGUGGAAUUUCUACACCAAGUUCUCCAAUGCUGUGGAUAUUAACUGGGUAUCCUACAGUUUUAUUCUGACACUUCAUGGAGUUGGCGUAGACCCCACAGGUUACGGGCUCAGUCCCACGAGACCACCCUUGCUUCACAUUGCAAUGGCAAGUCCUAGGUUGUCACCUGCACUUUUGACCAACCUGUUACAAAUCAGGGGUUCCCAUGACCCCCUCUUGGGGUUUAAUCAUUUGUUAGAGCAGCUUACAGAGCUCAGAAAAAGUUUGUUUCCUUUUUUUCUGAGAGACAGGUGGCUCACGCUGUAAUCCCAGCACUUUGGGAGGCUGAGGUAGGAGGAUUGCUUAAACUCAGGAGUUUGAGACCAGCCUGGGCAACAUGGUGAAACCCUGUCUCUGUAAAAAGUUUUUAAAAAGCUGGGCACAGUGGCUCAAGCCUGUAAUCCCAGCACUUUGGGAGGCCAAGGUGGGCGAAUCACGAGGUCAGGAGUUCGAGACCAGUCUG